AUUGAACGCUGGCGGCAGGCUUAACACAUGCAAGUCGAGCGAGCGGCGGACGGGUGAGUAAUGUAUGGGAAACUGCCUGAUGGAGGGGGAUAACUACUGGAAACGGUAGCUAAUACCGCAUACUCUCAGAUGAGCCCAUUUGGGAUUAGCUAGUAGGUGGGGUAAUGGCUCACCUAGGCGACGAUCCCUAGCUGGUCUGAGCGGAUGACCAUCCACCAUGGAUCUGAGACACGUUCCACACUCCUACGGGAGGCAGCAGUGGGUAAUAUUGCACAAUGGGCGCAAGCCUGAUGCAGCCAUGCCGCGUGUGUGAAGAAGGCCUUCGGGUUGUAAAGCACUUUCAGCGGGGAGGCGUUACUCGCAGAAGAAGCACCGGCUAACUCCGUGCCAGCAGCCGCGGUAAUUC
rnacentral:rRNA from 1 species